rnacentral:rRNA from 1 species
AACGAACGCUGGCGGCAGGCUUAACACAUGCAAGUCGAGCGCCCCGCAAGGGGAGCGGCAGACGGGUGAGUAACGCGUGGGAACGUACCUUUUGGUUCGGAACAACUCCGGGAAACUGGAGCUAAUACCGGAUAAGCCCUAGCGGGGAAAGAUUUAUCGCCGAAAGAUCGGCCCGCGUCUGAUUAGCUAGUUGGUGAGGUAACGGCUCACCAAGGCGACGAUCAGUAGCUGGUCUGAGAGGAUGAUCAGCCACACUGGGACUGAGACACGGCCCAGACUCCUACGGGAGGCAGCAGUGGGGAAUAUUGGACAAUGGGCGCAAGCCUGAUCCAGCCAUGCCGCGUGAGUGAUGAAGGCCUUAGGGUUGUAAAGCUCUUUUGUCCGGGAAGAUAAUGACUGUACCGGAAGAAUAAGCCCCGGCUAACUUCGUG